ACAUAAUAUUAAUACACAUACUUGUAUACUAUUUAUCUGUACAUAUAUAUUCAGGUAUACAUACAAUAGAAAAUAAUACUAAUCACAACAUUGUCUUCAAAUUUUAAGCACAAAUUCAAAUGACAAAUAAAUAAUUUGUUAAAACUAUAACUAUAGUUCUCGACACAACCUCGUGCAAACUGUCCAUGCACAUAUAGACACGGUACGACUGUCUAAAUCGGAAUCACCGGAAAUAAAGUCACUGACACACUGGCGGAAUUAAGGUAGAGAAAACGUGAAUAACGUAAAAUGUGGAACGAGAAAAGUCCGGCCAACAUCAAGGAAAACACAGGAAGAAAAUAUGAAGAUGGACAUGAAAAUGGAAUAAUGAAAACAUGAAGAUGAUGAUGAAUGACAAAUGGGACGGAAUGUAAGGAAAGGAAUGCGUAAUCCUCGGUCUGGCUCGCGGUCGCGGCUGUAGUGUGUACAGGAGGAACGUCUGGCUGAGCAACUGGCGGACACGAAGGAAUUUCAGAUGACCCGAACUUGAAAGGCAAAGUGGAUGGCAAGGUCUCAGACGACACAACGGAUGGUGUAACAUCGUAUGAAGGCAGCAAUGGAGCAAAGAUGGAUGGCUGAACUGAUGAAAUGAUAGCGGAUGAUGUGGCGGAUGGCAGACAGGAUGAACUGAUGGUAGAGGAACUUACGGAAGAAGCAGAUGAGGUCGCAGGUGCCUGUGGCGGAGCAGAUUCCAGGGUGCUGGUGAUCGGAGCCACUGGGAGACGAGAAACAAAUUUCAAACUGCCAGGAUCAAUGUAAUUACUAUUUGGUUUGAGUUCAUGUCGACACAGCUGGAGAUGAUUUUCUAGAGGCAGCUGGGACAAGUGAUGAAUACUGCGGAGGUGGAAACGCAUAUCUGUCUUUCUCUUGCAAGUAGAUUUACAUCCUGGGAUGGAACAAUGGAAAAUAACAUGAUGGGGCUUGUGCUUCGUCUCCCAGUGCCUGGCAUAACUCUUCCUGGUGGUAAAGGAGGUAAAGCCACAGGACACUACAGGACAAUUCAUUCCAGAAUGGAACUCAAAGGGGCAGGAUGAAGAUUCCAGAAGUUCCGCAAGAUCCUCAUCGUGGACCAAAAGGUCAAGGACAUCAGUGUCCAUAAUUGACAUGACUAUAUAAAGUGGUGGUGAUGAAAACGAUGAUAAGGAUGGGAUCAAACGAUGAUGAUAAUGAUGAUGAUGAUGAAAAUGUUGUAAGGAUGAUCCAAAUGAAACUGUAAAUAAAUAAACACAUAGUUUGAGGAAAUAGCAAACAUGUUGCUUACCAUGUUAAGUAUAUGUUAACACUAAUAAAGUGUAUUGUAUAUUUUCUUUAACAAAAUUUUCUGUGAACAAAAUGUAUA